GGCUGGGAGACGUCACGUCCUGUGACUCCCAGAGCAAACCUCUCCGUUCUACUUUCAGUGUUCGGAUAGAGCUCCUCUAGUUUCCGGACAGCUGCCCAGUGAGGCGGUCCCGUGUGAUAGGAGGUCGUCUCCUUAUCGCAGCAGACGAGGUCUUGACGUGGUGUGGAGAGCCACCUUAUGGCGGCGGUAGUGACAUAACCCUCUCGCCUGCGUCCACACGCCGACUACCGGAGCGAGCCGCACUCAAGGCUGCCUCCACUCUUCUCUGGAACUUGUUAUCAGCUAAGGAGUGGCGGCUCGGCGCGUGAUGGCACGGCUGUCGCCGCGGCGCGGGCUGGUCCUGCUGGCGGCGGCCUCCCUGGCGGUGCUGGUGUGUCUGCAGCAGAGGGAGCUGCCCUGGAGGCCCG